rnacentral:rRNA from 1 species
CAGUCGCCACGGGAAUACGUAGGGCGCAAGCGUUAUCCGGAAUUAUUGGGCGUAAAGAGCUCGUAGGCGGUUUGUCGCGUCUGCCGUGAAAGUCCGGGGCUCAACCCCGGAUCUGCGGUGGGUACGGGCAGACUAGAGUGAUGUAGGGGAGACUGGAAUUCCUGGUGUAGCGGUGAAAUGCGCAGAUAUCAGGAGGAACACCGAUGGCGAAGGCAGGUCUCUGGGCAUUAACUGACGCUGAGGAGCGAAAGCAUGGGGAGCGAACAGGAUUAGAUACCCCCGUAGUCCCUGUCUCUUAUAC